rnacentral:rRNA from 1 species
CGCUUCUUUUUCCACCGGAGCUUGCUCCACCGGAAAAAGAGGAGUGGCGAACGGGUGAGUAACACGUGGGUAACCUGCCCAUCAGAAGGGGAUAACACUUGGAAACAGGUGCUAAUACCGUAUAACAAUCAAAACCGCAUGGUUUUGAUUUGAAAGGCGCUUUCGGGUGUCGCUGAUGGAUGGACCCGCGGUGCAUUAGCUAGUUGGUGAGGUAACGGCUCACCAAGGCCACGAUGCAUAGCCGACCUGAGAGGGUGAUCGGCCACAUUGGGACUGAGACACGGCCCAAACUCCUACGGGAGGCAGCAGUAGGGAAUCUUCGGCAAUGGACGAAAGUCUGACCGAGCAACGCCGCGUGAGUGAAGAAGGUUUUCGGAUCGUAAAACUCUGUUGUUAGAGAAGAACAAGGAUGAGAGUAACUGUUCAUCCCUUGACGGUAUCUAACCAGAAAGCCACGGCUAACUACGUGCCAGCAGCCGCGGUAAUACGUAGGUGGCAAGCGUUGUCCGGAUUUAUUGGGCGUAAAGCGAGCGCAGGCGGUUUCUUAAGUCUGAUGUGAAAGCCCCCGGCUCAACCGGGGAGGGUCAUUGGAAACUGGGAGACUUGAGUGCAGAAGAGGAGAGUGGAAUUCCAUGUGUAGCGGUGAAAUGCGUAGAUAUAUGGAGGAACACCAGUGGCGAAGGCGGCUCUCUGGUCUGUAACUGACGCUGAGGCUCGAAAGCGUGGGGAGCAAACAGGAUUAGAUACCCUGGUAGUCCACGCCGU